AUCAACUUUCGAUGGUAGGAUAGAGGCCUACCAUGGUGGUAACGGGUAACGGGGUGUUAGGGCACGACACCGGAGAGGGAGCCUGAGAAACGGCUACCACAUCCAAGGAUGGCAGCAGGCGCGCAAAUUACCCAAUCCCGACACGGGGAGGUAGUGACAAUAAAUAACAAUACGGGGUUCUUUCGGAUCUCGUAAUUGGAAUGAGUACAAUUUAAAUCUCUUAACGAGGAACAAUUGGAGGGCAAGUCUGGUGCCAGCAGCCGCGGUAAUUCCAGCUCCAAUAGCGUAUAUUAAAGUUGUUGCAGUUAAAAAGCUCGUAGUUGAAUUUCGGGGUUAGUAGGCUGGUCGUGCCACCGGUACGUACUGGUCUUACUGAUUCCUCCUUCCUGAUGAACUGUAAUGCCAUUAAUUUGGUGUUGCAGGGAAUCUGGACUGUUACUUUGAAAAAAUUAGAGUGUUUAAAGCAGGCUAACGCUUGAAUACAUUAGCAUGGAAUAAUGAAAUAGGACGUUCGAUCCUAUUUUGUUGGUUUCUAGGAUUGACGUAAUGAUUAAUAGGGAUAGUUGGGGGCAUUAGUAUUCAAUUGUCAGAGGUGAAAUUCUUGGAUUUAUUGAAGACUAACUACUGCGAAAGCAUUUGCCAAGGAUGUUUUCAUUAAUCAAGAACGAAAGUUAGGGGAUCGAAGACGAUCAGAUACCGUCGUAGUCUUAACCAUAAACUAUGCCGACUAGGGAUCGGAUGAUGUUAAUUUUUUAAUGACUCAUUCGGCGCCUUACGGGAAACCAAAGUGUUUGGGUUC
rnacentral:rRNA from 1 species